CCUACGGGAGGCAGCAGUGAGGAAUAUUGGACAAUGGGCGCAAGCCUGAUCCAGCCAUGCCGCGUGCAGGAUGACGGUCCUAUGGAUUGUAAACUGCUUUUGUACAGGAAGAAACACCUCUACGUGUAGAGACUUGACGGUACUGUAAGAAUAAGGAUCGGCUAACUCCGUGCCAGCAGCCGCGGUAAUACGGAGGAUCCAAGCGUUAUCCGGAAUCAUUGGGUUUAAAGGGUCCGUAGGCGGUUUAGUAAGUCAGUGGUGAAAGCCCAUCGCUCAACGGUGGAACGGCCAUUGAUACUGCUAAACUUGAAUUAUUAGGAAGUAACUAGAAUAUGUAGUGUAGCGGUGAAAUGCUUAGAGAUUACAUGGAAUACCAAUUGCGAAGGCAGGUUACUACUAAUGGAUUGACGCUGAUGGACGAAAGCGUGGGUAGCGAACAGGAUUAGAUACCCUGGUAGUCCACGCCGUAAACGAUGGAUACUAGCUGUUGGGAGCAAUCUCAGUGGCUAAGCGAAAGUGAUAAGUAUCCCACCUGGGGAGUACGUUCGCAAGAAGAGAACGUACGAAGAAGUAGUAGACGAGAGAGAGCGACGACGACGACGACGGAGGGAGGAG
rnacentral:rRNA from 1 species